rnacentral:rRNA from 1 species
ACCGAAUAGAUACCCGGGUAGUCCACGCCGUAAACUAUGAACGCUAGCCCGUUGGCGAGCUUGCUCGUCAGUGGCGCAGCUAACGCAUUAAGCGUUCCGCCUGGGGAGUACGGCCGCAAGGUUGAAACUCAAAGAAAUUGACGGGGGCCCGCACAAGCGGUGGAGCAUGUGGUUUAAUUCGACGCAACGCGCAGAACCUUACCAGGGUUUGACAUCCCGAGACCGCUGCUGAAAGGCAGUUUCCCGCAAGGGCUCGGAGACAGGUGCUGCAUGGCUGUCGUCAGCUCGUGUCGUGAGAUGUUGGGUUAAGUCCCGCAACGAGCGCAACCCUCGCCUUUAGUUGCCAUCAUUAAGUUGGGCACUCUAGAGGGACCGCCGGCGACAAGCCGGAGGAAGGUGGGGAUGACGUCAAGUCCUCAUGGCCCUUACACCCUGGGCUACACACGUGCUACAAUGGCGGUGACAGUGAGCAGCUAACUCGCGAGAGUAUGCUAAUCUCCAAAAACCGGUCCCAGUUCAGAUUGCACU